rnacentral:rRNA from 1 species
CCAGACUCCUACGGGAGGCAGCAGUGAGGAAUAUUGGUCAAUGGGCGGGAGCCUGAACCAGCCAAGCCGCGUGAGGGAAGAAGGUACAGCGUAUCGUAAACCUCUUUUGUCAGGGAACAAAGGCGGGGACUAGUCCCCGGAUGAGGGUACCUGAAGAAAAAGCAUCGGCUAACUCCGUGCCAGCAGCCGCGGUAAUACGGAGGAUGCGAGCGUUAUCCGGAUUUAUUGGGUUUAAAGGGUGCGCAGGCGGCCUGUUAAGUCAGCGGUAAAAGCCCGGGGCUCAACCCCGGCGAGCCGUUUGAACUGGCGCGCUUGAGUUCAGGCGAGGUAGGCGGAAUUCGUGGUGUAGCGGUGAAGUGCAUAGAUAUCACGAAGAACUCCGAUUGCGAAGGCAGCUUACCAGUCUGCGACUGACGCCCAGGCACGAAAGUGUGGGUAUCGAACAGGAUUAGAUACCCUGGUA